rnacentral:rRNA from 1 species
CGGUGCGCCUUAUGCAUGCAAGUCGAGCGAAGCUUUUCAGUAGUUUACUACAGAAAAUGACUGAGCGGCGAACGGGUGAGUAACGCGUGAGCAAUCUACCUUAGUUACAGGGAUAGCCCGAGGAAACUCGGAUUAAUACCUGAUAUUCUUUAUAUUUCGCAUGAAAUUAAAAGGAAAGGUCAGCCGAACUAAGAUGAGCUCGCGUUCUAUCAGCUAGUUGGUGAGGUAAAAGCUCACCAAGGCUACGACGGAUAGCUGGUCUGAGAGGACGAUCAGCCACACUGGGACUGAGACACGGCCCAGACUCCUACGGGAGGCUGCAGCAGGGAAUAUUGCGCAAUGAGCGAAAGCUUGACGCAGCGACACCGCGUGUGGGAUGACGGAUCUAGGUUUGUAAACCACUUUCAGGAGGGAAGAAAAUGACGGUACCUCCACAAGAAGCCCCGGCCAACUACGUGCC